rnacentral:tRNA from 1 species
UUGAAUGAAGCUAAAGAUAGAAGCAGGUCAUUGUUAAUGACAAAAAUGAAUAUAUUUCCUUUCAAA